GAUGAACGCUGGCGGCGUGCCUAAUACAUGCAAGUCGAGCGAACAGACGAGGAGCUUGCUCCUCUGACGUUAGCGGCGGACGGGUGAGUAACACGUGGAUAACCUACCUAUAAGACUGGGAUAACUUCGGGAAACCGGAGCUAAUACCGGAUAAUAUAUUGAACCGCAUGGUUCAAUAGUGAAAGACGGUUUUGCUGUCACUUAUAGAUGGAUCCGCGCCGCAUUAGCUAGUUGGUAAGGUAACGGCUUACCAAGGCAACGAUGCGUAGCCGACCUGAGAGGGUGAUCGGCCACACUGGAACUGAGACACGGUCCAGACUCCUACGGGAGGCAGCAGUAGGAAAUCUUCCGCAAUGGGCGAAAGCCUGACGGAGCAACGCCGCGUGAGUGAUGAAGGUCUUCGGAUCGUAAAACUCUGUUAUUAGGGAAGAACAAAUGUGUAAGUAACUAUGCACGUCCUGACGGUACCUAAUCAGAAAGCCACGGCUAACUACGUG
rnacentral:rRNA from 1 species